rnacentral:rRNA from 1 species
UACGUAGGGUGCAAGCGUUGUCCGGAAUUAUUGGGCUUAAAGAGCUCGUAGGCGGUUUGUCGCGUCUGCUGUGAAAUCUGGGGGCUCAACCCCCAGCCUGCAGUGGGUACGGGCAGACUAGAGUGCGGUAGGGGAGAUUGGAACUCCUGGUGUAGCGGUGGAAUGCGCAGAUAUCAGGAAGAACACCGAUGGCGAAGGCAGAUCUCUGGGCCGUAACUGACGCUGAGGAGCGAAAGCAUGGGGAGCGAACAGG